CGUAGUCAACCUGCCCUGGAGACAAGAACAACCCCGGGAAACUGGGAUUAAUUCUUGAUAGGUCAUCUCAUCUGGAAGGAGAGAUGGCUUAAAGGGGUACGCGGGCUUCUUCUGCGUAUUCGCUCCAGGAUGGGACUGCGUCCGAUCAGGCUGUUGGCGGGGUAAUGGCCCACCAAACCUGUAACCGGUACGGGCCUUGAGAGAGGUGGCCCGGAGAUGGACACUGAGAGAAGGGUCCAGGUCCUACGGGGCGCAGCAGGCGCGAAACCUUCGCAAUGCGCGAAAGCGUGACGAGGUUAAUCCGAGUGACUUCCGCUGAGGAGGUCUUUUGUCAGCUGUAAAUAGGCAGGCGAAUAAGGGGAGGGCAAGCCUGGUGUCAGCCGCCGCGGUAAUACCAGCUCCUCGAGUGGUCGGGGCGAUUAUUGGGCCUAAAGCAUCCGUAGCCGGUUCCGUAGGUCCUCUGUUUAAUCCAACAGCUUAACUGUUGACCUGCAGAGGAUACCGCGGGACUAGGAGGCGGGAAGAGGCGGACGGUACUCCNCGUGUA
rnacentral:rRNA from 1 species